GCGGGAUUGGUGCAAUGGUAGACACACUAGGUUUAGGACCUAGAUGUCAAGGGUUCAAAUCCCUUAUCCCGUA